AUUAAUUCAGUAUUACCAUAAAUUCACUAAUAUCCAAGUAACUUAAUGGUUUGGUGUGAAUGGCACAGUCUGAAAUUGUAUCAAAUGCAGGAAAUCAAAUGUGAGAAUCUUUUUUUUUUUCAAAUAAGUCAUCUCAAUAUUACUUGCCGUUAUGUAGGUCCAGUGUACAAAUGCUAAUGAUCAAUUUACUGAUCUCUGGCCUCUGUGCAGACAUUCGUUUGAAUCUGUUCAUUGGAAUAAUCUAUUCUGAAU